AUUGAACGCUGGCGGCAUGCUUUACACAUGCAAGUCGAACGGCAGCGCGGGCUUCGGCCUGGCGGCGAGUGGCGAACGGGUGAGUAAUGCAUCGGAACGUGCCCAGUAGUGGGGGAUAGCCCGGCGAAAGCCGGAUUAAUACCGCAUACGACCUGAGGGUGAAAGCGGGGGACCGAAAGGCCUCGCGCUAUUGGAGCGGCCGAUGUCGGAUUAGCUAGUUGGUGGGGUAAAGGCUUACCAAGGCGACGAUCCGUAGCUGGUCUGAGAGGACGACCAGCCACACUGGGACUGAGGCACGGCCCAGACUCCUACGGGAGGCAGCAGUGGGGAAUUUUGGACAAUGGAGGCAACCCUGAUCCAGCCAUGCCGCGUGCGGGAAGAAGGCCUUCGGGGUGUAAACCGCUUUUGUUCGGGAAGAAAUCCUCUGGGCUAAUACCCCGGGGGGAUGACGGUACCGGAAGAAUAAGCACCGGCUAACUACGUG
rnacentral:rRNA from 1 species